rnacentral:rRNA from 1 species
UGGUGGGUUGCCUUGUCAGGUUGAUUCCGGUAACGAACGAGACCUCUGCCUGCUAAAUAGUCAGCUUCGCACCUGCGGAGCGCGGACUUCUUAGAGGGACUAUUGGCGUUUAGCCAAUGGAAGUUGGAGGCGAUAACA